CACGUAGGGCGCAAGCGUUGUCCGGAAUUAUUGGGCGUAAAGAGCUCGUAGGCGGUCUGUUACGUCUGCUGUGAAAACCCGGGGCUUAACCCAGGGCUUGCAGUGGAUACGGGCAGACUAGAGGCAGGUAGGGGAGAAUGGAAUUCCCGGUGUAGCGGUGAAAUGCGCAGAUAUCGGGAGGAACACCGGUGGCGAAGGCGGUUCUCUAGUACGGUACUGACGCUGAGACGCGAAAGCGUGGGGAGCGAACAGG
rnacentral:rRNA from 1 species